UGGGGAAUAUUGCACAAUGGGCGCAAGCCUGAUGCAGCCAUGCCGCGUGUGUGAAGAAGGCCUUCGGUUGUAAAGCACUUUCAGCGAGGAGGAAGGUGGUGGACUUAAUACGUUCAUCAAUUGACGUUACUCGCAGAAGAAGCACCGGCUAACUCCGUGCCAGCAGCCGCGGUAAUACGGAGGGUGCAAGCGUUAAUCGGAAUUACUGGGCGUAAAGCGCACGCAGGCGGUUUGUUAAGUCAGAUGUGAAAUCCCCGGGCUCAACCUGGGAACUGCAUUUGAAACUGGCAAGCUAGAGUCUCGUAGAGGGGGUAGAAUUCCAGGUGUAGCGGUGAAAUGCGUAGAGAUCUGGAGGAAUACCGGUGGCGAAGGCGGCCCCCUGGACGAAGACUGACGCUCAGGUGCGAAAGCGUGGGGAGCAAACAGAUUAGAUACCCUGGUAGUCCACGCUGUAAACGAUGUCGAUUUUGGAGG
rnacentral:rRNA from 1 species